CGGACAGCGUUGGCGUGCCGCUCUGCUAGCAGCGGAGAGCCAGAUGAGGAUGCCCGUGAUAUGAGAAAAGCUCUGUCCAGAGAUAUGGAGACGAAAUCAGUUGUACCUCACCCUGUGACACCGGAAGACAUUGAGUAACUCGUCCUGCAGCCGGCUCCUCGGUUUUGGCGGCAGCCUGCACGUAGCAGCCCAGCUCUCCAGCAGCCUGACGGACCGACCGUGUGUCUGUUCCACGCCGGACUGGCGAGCGUGGCUCUGGGUAGGACAGCCGAGGUGCCCCAGGGCCGGGCCCCGAGCCCCGGUGCGGAG